rnacentral:rRNA from 2 species
GUCUACGGCCACACCACCCUGACACGCCCGGUGUCAUCUGAUCUCGGAAGCUAAGCAGGUUCGGGCCUGGUUAGUACUUGGAUGGGAGAAGCACCCACGGUACUUUAGAGA